rnacentral:rRNA from 1 species
GCAAGUCGAACGAGCACGACCUAGCUUGCUAGGUACGGUGAGUGGCAGACGGGUGAGUAAUGCAUAGGAAUCUACCCAGUAGUAAGGAAUAACUCAUGGAAACAUGAGCUAAUACUGUAUAUUACCGAUUUAUCGGGAAAGGCUUCGGCCGCUAUUGGAUGAGCCUAUGUCAGAUUAGCUUGUUGGUGGGGUAAUGGCCUACCAAGGCUGUGAUCUGUAGCUGGUUUGAGAGAAUGAUC